UACGAACUGCGCAAACGUUAUUCGGAAUCACUGGGCUUACAGGGUGCGUAGGCGGCGGGGAAAGUAGGGUGUGAAAUGCCUUGGCUCAACCAAGGCACAGCGCUCUAAACUCCCUCGCUCGAGUGAGUCAGGGGUACGCGGAACUUCCGGUGGAGCGGUGAAAUGUGUUGAUAUCGGAAGGAACACCGGUGGCGAAAGCGGCGUACUGGGGCUCAACUGACGCUGAGGCACGAAAGCCAGGGGAGCGAACGGG
rnacentral:rRNA from 1 species